CCUACGGGAGGCAGCAGUAGGGAAUCUUCCACAAUGGGCGAAAGCCUGAUGGAGCAACGCCGCGUGAGUGAAGAAGGAUUUCGGUUCGUAAAACUCUGUUGUAAGGGAAGAACAAGUACAGUAGUAACUGGCUGUACCUUGACGGUACCUUAUUAGAAAGCCACGGCUAACUACGUGCCAGCAGCCGCGGUAAUACGUAGGUGGCAAGCGUUGUCCGGAAUUAUUGGGCGUAAAGCGCGCGCAGGUGGUUUCUUAAGUCUGAUGUGAAAGCCCACGGCUCAACCGUGGAGGGUCAUUGGAAACUGGGAGACUUGAGUGCAGAAGAGGAUAGUGGAAUUCCAAGUGUAGCGGUGAAAUGCGUAGAGAUUUGGAGGAACACCAGUGGCGAAGGCGACUAUCUGGUCUGUAACUGACACUGAGGCGCGAAAGCGUGGGGGAGCAAACAGGAUUAGAUACCCUGGUAGUCCACGCCGUAAACGAUGAGUGCUAAGUGUUAGGGGGUUUCCGCCCCUUAGUGCUGCAGCUAACGCAUUAAGCACUCCGCCUGGGGAGUACGGUCGCAAGACUGAAACUCAAAGGAAUUGACGGGGGCCCGCACAAGCGGUGGAGCAUGUGGUUUAAUUCGAAGCAACGCGAAGAACCUUAC
rnacentral:rRNA from 1 species